rnacentral:tRNA from 2 species
GCGCCAUUAGCUCAGUUGGUUAGAGCAGCUGACUCUUAAUCAGCGGGUCCGGGGUUCGAGUCCCUGAUGGCGCACAA